rnacentral:rRNA from 1 species
AUUGAACGCUGGCGGCAUGCCUUACACAUGCAAGUCGAACGGCAGCGGGGGAGAAGCUUGCUUUUCCUGCCGGCGAGUGGCGAACGGGUGAGUAAUACAUCGGAACGUGCCCUGUAGUGGGGGAUAACUAGUCGAAAGAUUAGCUAAUACCGCAUACGACCUGAGGGUGAAAGUGGGGGACCGCAAGGCCUCAUGCUAUAGGAGCGGCCGAUGUCUGAUUAGCUAGUUGGUGGGGUAAAGGCCUACCAAGGCGACGAUCAGUAGCUGGUCUGAGAGGACGAGCAGCCACACUGGGACUGAGACACGGCCCAGACUCCUACGGGAGGAAGCAGUGGGGAAUUUUGGACAAUGGGCGAAAGCCUGAUCCAGCAAUGCCGCGUGCGUGAAGAAGGCCUUCGGGUUGUAAAGCACUUUUGUCCGGAAAGAAAUGGCUCUGGUUAAUACCUGGGGUCGAUGACGGUACUAUAUGAAUAAGCACCGGCUAACUCCGUGCCAGCCGCCGCGGUAA